UACGUAGGGUGCAAGCGUUGUCCGGAAUUAUUGGGCGUAAAGAGCUUGUAGGUGGUUUGUCGCGUCUGCUGUGAAAAUCCGAGGCUCAACCUCGGACUUGCAGUGGGUACGGGCAGACUAGAGUGUGGUAGGGGAGACUGGAAUUCCUGGUGUAGCGGUGGAAUGCGCAGAUAUCAGGAAGAACACCUAUGGCGAAGGCAGCUCUCUGGGACGGUACUGACGCUGAGACGCGAAGGCGUGGGGAGCGAACAGG
rnacentral:rRNA from 1 species